AUAUUUUCACUGAGUGUUUAUGAAGCUGCCUCACCCUUUUUUGCAUUCUUGUGGUAAGCGUUAGAAAUAGAAAGAUGUCUAAAUGUUUUAAUUUUCCUUAUACACAUUUUCCUGUUUCCUUAAAGGGUGCUUAGAAUUGUGUCUGUGUUAAUUAGAUAUUUUAUGGAUUGACUGUACACAGGUCUGAGGUUGUUGCUGUAAAGUGUUUAAAGGAAAGAUGUACAAAUUCUUCUGGAAGCGUUUUGCAAGCUGAUUUUAUGGGGGACAUUGGGAAAUAAGUUUUCAUUAGCUUUUAUAUAAAACAUGUAUCUCCAGGCUUAAAAGAAUUCUGAUUUUCCACUGCAUUUAAACAUGAACGACAAGACAUAUCUGACUGUGAAUGCCAUGAAAGAGAAAUGUAAUUUACUACCCUGAGCUAUAUUUUGUUUUCAGUUACUGUAGAAAGGAAAGAAUCGUUUUAUGAAAUAACCAUUUGUGAACAUUCGCAUUAAGUGAUGAACUACUUUAUUGUUACAAUUGUAAUGCCUGCUAUCCUUCAUAUUUAUAGUUUCCAUGUAAUGUGUGUAUUUCCUAUAUAUUUCCUGUACAUUUAUUGAGUGGAUAUAUGUUUAUGAUACAUUUGAGAAAUUACAUGUGCACUAUGGGUUACCGCUGUUGAAAGCAGGCCUUAAUUGUGAUGUGUCUAUUCCUUGUUAAAUCCGGGUCAAAGAUCUUGUACUAGGAUGUCAGGGAUUAUGGAUUAUUCUCCGUUAACAUUCUGUGUUUCGAUAUGAAUUUGUUCUCCUGUGAUGAAUGUGGAAAUGAAUAAGCAAAUGAUGUUAGUGGGUGAACCUGUGUUUAUGGCCUGGUUUACUUAUGACACAAAGGAAUCACUGCAAGCAAACAGCAGUCUGAAUUAAUUCAUUAAAUUUAUGCAUAAAAUUUUACCUGUGAUACUAUGGCAUGCUCCACUAACAUGCUGUUCUCUGCUGGGGAUCUUUCAACAUUGUGUUAAUACUCUUUAUUUUCAGCUGAUGAAAGGGAUGUGAAGAUUUACUUUUUAUCUUGCACUGAGUCUUAGUCUUCAUACUUUCACUGAGAGAUUUGUUUUCCAUUGUUUAUUUUUGAAACCAUACUUAAAUUGAGAAUACUAAUUUGCAGAGGAUUUAAAGGGAGAAAGGUUAAGAACACAAGAAUACUUGAGAUAAAAUAUUUUGACAAUUAAUUAAAAUAGAUUUUCCUUUUUUCUUUUGUCAACACAAUAACGUGAUCUGUUGAAUUUUCAUACUUAAACCUCCAUAUUCUGUGUGAUUUUUAUAGAUUUAAGUAUCCUUCAAUGUGAGAAGCUAUAGCAAGAUCAGUAUCAGAUUACUUAUGUGCCAUAGUUUUGAUGUAUAAUGGGGUAAAAUCUUUGAAUGUUAGGCUAUAUUACUACGCUAUAUUCAAAUGUUAGGCUAUAUUAAUACACUAAAUGUACUAUUUUUCAAGCUUUUACUUUGUACUUAUUUUUUGUACAGGACCAAGUUGAUCCUUGGUGUAGUCCAUUAAUGAGUGGAAGUAUACUAGGAUGAACUUAGCUUGUAAGAUGGAAUGAGGCAAAAAUCAUACAGAGAUUUUUCUACAAAAUCAGCAUGUAAGCCUAUAAAACAAGGAGUUACACUUUAAAGCUUGAUAACUGGACUGUGAAAUACCCUUUUUUUGUCUGAUAAACAUAUAAUGCCUUGUCCAUGACUGCAGAGAAUACGUUUCCAUCUGUUUUGACAGGUUUCACAAAUAUUAUUUGUUCUUGCUUUUUUCCUUUUCUUUCUUUCUUUCCUUCCCCCCCCCGCCCCCCGAAAUCUACUAGGCAUCUUUUGAAGAGCAAGCUUCUUAAAUCUUCACAAAUCUUAUUAUGCAGCUCUUUAAUUGCACAAGAAUACCACUUACAGUGCAAAAACUAAGCAUUAACAGCACCAAAUUGUGAAACUUUGUCAUUGUUAAUAAUAGAUACAGUACGAUUUAGAUACUAUUUGAAAAAUCAUCAUUAUUUCAUUUUACUCGCACCUUAACUGCUUUAUGAUGAGGUAACAAUUCACUUUCAUGUUUCGUACUAUAAUUUAUAGAGUUAUGGUUUGAAAUACAGGUUAUAAUGUAAAUCUAAAAGAUAACUCAUUGGGUGAGUUUCAUCUGUGAGACGAUUAUUUACAAGUUCUUAGCUUGGAAACAUGUAUCAUGUGUUCAGUGUUUGGUUCUUUGAUGAACCACAGUGUCAAUUUUGACCCUUCUUACAAGAUUGAAGAAGAGCUAUUUCAAUAUAUAAUAUGGGGACAUCAAGACAAUGUCUUUAUUUUACAAAACUUAUUUAAUAUGGCUUCAAGAUGAGAAAUGAUUUAACAGGUUUCAGCCCAGUCAUAAAAAUACCUGUCUCUCCCCUUUGCUCUUCCACCCCACCCAUAAAUGUUCCUGGAGGUUUAUCUGAAUCCUCACCUUUAGCAGUCCUUCUAACAUGAGGAACUGAUCUGGUUACAGACUUAUGUUGUGAAAGUGUGUUCUCUCCUGCUUUCCUUGUAUACUUGCAAAGAAAUUUCAGACUAUUUGUUUGCCCACAGAGGCACAGGCUAUGUUUUUAAUUUGGAGGGGAAAGGAAGCUGGGGCCUCUUUUUUCAGAAGUAAUUUUUUUGCUUUUAAAUUAAUGAUCAGUAAUUUAUAUCUGCUAUGCCCAUACUUAAAAUUUUUCCAAAAAGUAGGAAAAACAUUUUUUAAAAAUGAUGAAAUUAUGACUUCAAAUAUUUGACUUUGUUUGAAAACCUAAAUUCUAGGCUUCUCUGAUUUUAGUAAUAGAAAUAGUAAUUAUUAUUUGUAAUUUAAGUCCUUUCAUGAAUUAUUUCAGUAUAGCAAAAAAAUUUUCGUACCAGAAUCCUGUAUAUUCUCUUCUUAAAAUACUCCUAAGCUGCAUUUAAAAGCUCAGGGCUUUUUCUUUGCAUUUACUAAGUCAUCUUAAGAAUGAAACUGAUAUUAGAAAAUCAAAGGCUAGUUUGUAUCAAUAGAGUAUGCUGCAGACAAGCUUGCAUGAUUUGAGUAUGCUGCAGACUUAAAAAAAAAUAUAUAUAUAUAUAUAUAAACAUGUACAUAUAUAUGUAUAUAGCAUGCCCCUAAAACUCAGUGCAAGAGUGAACAAGCAUGUAGAAAACUAAGAAUGAAGUCAAGAAUGUAUAUUUGCUAAUUAUGGGUUCUGCAUUGAUUUAUCUGAUGAGUUGUUGGGAUUUUCUCAUGUAUUCAGUUAUUAAGCAUUUUUUAGCUUCUUUGUGCUGUUUACUUUAUAUAGAAAGCAGUGUAGAUAAAAUGAAUUUCUGAGGUGACUUUACCUUGUCCUGUCUUUACCAAAUACAAAAUAAUUAAGAAAUUUUCUUUUACUUUUUGCCAUUAUCUGUACAUCUUUUCUUUUCUCUUUUGAGACUCUUUUGGCUUUGAUCCAAAUUUCUCUCACACAAGCGGAUCCCAUCUUCUUAACAGAUUUGGGCCUCAUUUUCUAACAGCAAAAAAAAGAAAAAAUUAAGCAAUUCUCUCUAAUCAUGCUGAAAAGAUCAGUUAUUAAUAUAUUUUGACUAGGUAUAAUUUUCACUGAUACCUAUAUUGGCAUUGGUUCUGUACUGGCCAGAAGCACUGUGCCUUUGGUAGUAAUUUGAUGGCAGCUGUGAGAAGAGCAUGAUGUUACAGUCCAGUUUCUUUUCUAGACUGCUUUUGCAAAUAUUGCCUACAUAUACCCCUCCCAGUUCUUUGAUUGCUGCAGCACAAAUAUGAACCACUUUUUCUAUAGGCGUACCUAUUAGGAAGAGUAAUGUAAGAAUCGGCUGGAGGUUGCCACUUUGCCUUUGUCUGAUGCUCUCGUGAGCUUUCAGGGACCAGUCGUUCCAUUAGCAUCAGUGAGCUUUGGAGCUUUAAGCCUUGGAGGCUUCACCAGUUAUUUAUCUUUCUUCUUAGUAGGAAACUUCUGAAAUCCUUUCAGCAUCUUCGUGUUCUUUGAAGAAGAAAGUUUUUUUUUCUGUAAGCUGGAGUGCAUGCAUGUGCAAGGUGUAGCCAGAGUCGACUAGACCAAUAGCACCUUCCUGCCGCUAGUUCUGAUGGGCAUAGUGGCUGAAAAAACCCACCCUUUUGGAACAGUAUUUUAGUGGCAGAAUUGAGUAAUUUUGCUGUGGCAAGAGUAUUUCAAUUUCUAAAGCUGUCUGUGAGGAACACUUCAGGAUCCCUAAAGUGAUUUAAAAUACGUUAGGUAGAUGAAUGAAAUGUGAAACAUAUAAAGUAGUAUUUUUCAGCUUAGUUUUUCAUAACACAGAGAUAAACAUUUUUGCUGUGUCACUAGACCGACAGUUCAUUUAAUCAGGUACCUUGUCUCAGUCAGUGCCAGAUAUUUUACAGGAAGCCAAGCUGUAAUAAAGCAUUCUAUACAUACAGGGGAAGAAAAUAAUUUUUCCUAAUCUAUCAGAGAUUCCAAAUCUAGCUAGAGAUCUUAGUCUUUGAAGCAUGAGAAAUAAGAAACUGUGUACAUUUAGCUGUGUAAGUUUAGUAAAGCACAUGUAUUUUUUUAUGACAAUUUCUGUCCUUAAGUACACAUGCACAUAUUCCCAAGUAGACAAUACUGUCCUUAAGGGCAUUUAGUUGUCAGUGAAGCAAGUGUCAGCUUUGUGUAGAAAAGAAUUAAGCUUGCGAUUUUGGCCAUUUCUGUCAGAAAUAUUUUAUUCCAGUCUGUUUAUCAGGUUAAUUAUAUGUUGAACAGCAGAAUGCUUGCUUUCCUCCAUGUAUUAAACACACAUUUGAAAAAUGCGUUUCCAUAGCAUGUUAGGAAGGCUUACCUGAUAACAUGUGAUUGGCCUUUUUAAUUGUUUUCUAUGUUCUUUCUGUCCUUCAGCUUAGUCAUGACAUACUGUUCAGCUCAGCAUAGAUGUUCUAACAUGGAUAAGUAUGGAUUUUUGGUCAGGUGUCCUGUUUUGAAGGUUUGGAGCUUUAACUUCUGUUUUCAGUGAAAAUCCUGAGAGCUUUUAGAUACCCCUGAGAAUGAGGAUAGAACUUUGAAUUCACUGUGACAAAUGUUGAUUGGUUUUCACAACUUAAGCUGUAUAUGAAAUGAAUGUUCCUAAUGACUGGCAGAUAAAUCCAUAGCAAAUUUUACGUAAUAUCUGUAAUGGCAAUUCUCUUUUUCUUUGCAAAGAAUUUUUUUUUCUCUCUUUGAUUUGACUGUUGCUGCUUUCAGGGAAGGAGAUCCUUUAUAUAACUUGUGCGCUGAUGGGCUUAAAUUACAGUAGAAUUUUGAGCUGCAUAUAUCAUUCUUGUUAUGAUCAAAGCUUGUUUCUGUUGUUAGGAAUGGGAGGUGCAUAGGUGAAAAUUGUAGCACAUAGCUUAAAACGUUUCCAGGUGAGGAGAAAAAAAAAGAGGAAACUCAGUAUACUACAAUGCAGUCAUCUUCACACGCUUCAGAGAAAUGUUAUUGACAUUUAGGUCCAUAGUUGAGAACUGAUACUCUAAAAACAAAUGUUUAUAAAUUAUCCUUAAAAUUGAAGUUUGUGGAAGUAUGGCUGUUGAUUACAAUGAACACACGACCCAGAUCCAACUUGUAAAAUAGCUCCAGGGGGCAGAGAGAGAAUUAAAGAGAUGUUUGCCUUAUCUGUCAUAUGAGUUUGUUGGAGUUCAAUAGAAAAAAUUCUGUAAGAGAUGUUUUUCUAUCCCAAUUCACAAAAUUAUUAAGCAUGUCUAUAAUUGUGGAUCAGUUGAAUGUACUUGGCUCUCUUGGGAGUUUCCCAUUUUCUCUCAUUCUGUUUGACCACUACUUAGGCCUGGACCUCCCCCCUCUCCUUUCAAAUCUCUUCCACUGAAAUGUUAACAACAAAGUGAUUCUUUGAGAUUUAUUUGGUUGCUCCUUCCUUUCCUGCCGCUUUCUGUCAGAGUUUGCAAAUUCUGGCUGUAAUGUGUGCUUCUGUUUUGUAUGUUCAUUUCUGCAAACUGAAGAUUUAAUUGCAUAUCUGAAUAGCUGCACUUUCAGAACUGCUGCUCAUUCUGUCUACUGAGAGAGAUAGGAGAAGUAGAGACAUGGAAAAUAUUAGCUGAACAUCUUCACUCUCUGUCCUGAUUCUGAAAUACGGAUUUUUUUUUUUUUCCCACCUAGUCUGAGACACCAGGAAGUGGUCUUCCCUGGAAGUGUUUUGCUACUUAUGUCCAAUUCAUACUUUGAGACAAAAUCUUUUGGUCAAAUAUGCAAACAAGGAAAUAAGCACAACAGUCAACACCUUUAUUGCAGAUUUGUUCUAUCUGUUUGCACAUAGCACUGUACAUAGAAAACAUUGGUUUAUGUAUGAUGAUGUAAUGUGAAGCCGCAGGUGAGCUGUUGUAUUUAAGUGACAUCUGUCUGGCCUCAUUGAUAGCCAGUUAGAAGUAUGCUUGUAUUUUUUUGUAGGUGGUAUUUUAUUUUCUUCUAAUUGUGAAGCACCUGAUCUGGCAGAUUAAAAAAUAAAGUUAGCCAAAUAUUUUGUUUUGCAGUUGCAAAUAUUUUAAUAUAUCUGUCCUUCAUUUGACCUCCUUAGAAAUGUAGGCCAGGCUGCUUCAGUGGGUUUAUGGCAGUCUAGCUUCCUCCUUCAUAUACAGUUAUUGCACAUUUGUAGAAUGCUUUGUAAGGGUAAUGUGGGGAUUUUAAGAGAUUAUCAACAAAGCACAAUAACUUCUGCCCUUCAUUGAAAAAAUUUAGCCAAACUCUGAGUUGAAAAUGGUAACUCCUUUUGCUUAAUCCUUUAUUAAAAAUAAUUGUGCCUUGAAUUUGAAGAAACAUCUGCUGUGUUUUGGAGAGGCACAGAAAUCCAGUCUGUCUGUUUGUUCCUGUAUAUGUUGAGCUCUCUCUGUGUGUGUAUGUCUGUAUGGGUGUCUGUGCAAACUCCUUCUCUGUUUUAUCCUACUGUUAGGGGAAAUAUCUGGUAUAUAGUAUCAGAGAAAGUAGAGAAUUCUUGUGUAACAUGGUUUUGGUAUUUUCUUCCACGGAAGACACUUAAAAUAGGUUAUCCAAUGCCAUUUUCUUCAUUGUUUCUGGAAUGCUUUGAGUGUCAGUUUUUCUGGGAAUUAUAGAACUUUUUUUUUUUAAAGCUUUGCAUUAAUUCCUGUUGCAUUUUGAUUUGAAGCUCAUGAAUGUGUUCUGUUGAACUGAGGUUACUCUAAUUUCUAUUAAAUCUGUUGCUUCUGUAGGUAUUGCUGGGCAGAAGCACUAGCUAUACCAAGAGUAAUACAGUCAAAAGCUGGAUAGGGGCAUAGUUUGCACUAAAUUUGCAAAUUUGCAUAUGUACCUUAUUCCUGAGUUAGCUUUCAUUCUGAUCCAGGGCCCCUUUAGUGGAAACUGAGAGGCAUAAAUUGUGCUACGUGGUAUAUUUGUUUUUCAUAAUUAGGUUUUUAAGUCUAGAAAAUGGUAGUUAAUAUGCUGAGCAGGUUAUAAUAGAUCAAUCCAUUAAGUGUUGUCUAGGAUGGUUGUAUUUAGUAAAAAGGAGCUCUGCCUAUCUGGUGAUUUGAGGUAGCUUCUGUUAUUACAUAGAUUCAUAAGUAGCAAGCAUUUCAGAGGGCUAGGAGAGUGAAGUAGCCAGUCUUAAUUAAAAAAAAAAAUAAGUGUCAAAAGAAACAAAGUAGAUUUUACUUAAUAAUGGAAAUGUGAUACUAUGGGUAUUUGCCGGUCAAGAUAGAACAUCUCAUCUUGUGAUGGGAAGCAUCUUUUUAUUUUUACAACUCUGCACCAAGAGUUUAUAAAUUGUUUUUUUUUUUAAAAAAAAAAGUUAAUAUCCUGGUGAUGCUUUCCAAGAGAAAUAUCUGGCAUCUGUAAAAUCAGAAUUAAUUUUUAUUUUGGCAGUCACCUUCACCUUGAACAUAGAGCAUGCAUGUUGAAGAAGUUCAUAACUGGUCAUAUGUCUUUUGUUGAACAAUUACAGUCAGAUCAGUCAAUUGAGCUGUCAGUUACACAUUUUCCCCUACCCCCGCUCCAGUCUUAAACGCUCUGUUUUCCUGUGUAGGGAGUUGAUUCCUUUCAUAGUGUAUCACUACAAUGUCUUCUGCGUAGUUGGCAGUGCUGUGGAAGGAAUGGCUGCAGUUAGGUUCAACUGAAUGUAGAACUUAAUCCAAACCCGUCUUUAAUCUGAGGUGGUUAUGUGCAAAAUUUAAAACUUCAAAAUCUGAUCCAGAAGCAAAAAAAGGUAAGACUCACUGGAUGUUUGCUGGGUUGAGUGAGCAUGUGCAUGAAUUUUGGCAGAGAUGUAAGGCAGAUUGAGGAAUAUAUCAAACCCUGAUGGUAAACCUAAUUCAGGGUUGUUUUGUGUAUAGUCUGCAGGCAGUUGUACAGCCCUUCAGAACAGCUUGUCCAAUCCUGUGGCUUCUUACCUGUGAAGCUCUUAAAGACAUGUAAAUUGAUUUGUACAGCAUUAUGGGCAAUGAAUUGCAUCAUGUGGUAGGAAGUUGUCUGCUGCACAUUGUCCUUUCCCUGUGCAACAGUGAGCAGUGUACCUUGCUCAGCAAGGAAGAUUAACAGACCUUGAUGUAACUGGAAAGGGUAACAUACCUGUGCAGUGAAGUUUCUUCAUUUGAACACGUAAGAGGAAGAGAAAUGAACUUAAUGUAUAAAGCUCAUGUGUUUGUAGCAAGAAAACUAUUGCGUGUGUUUUCAGAACUUUGUUCCUGAUGUAAUUAUAGUCAGGAACUGCUUACUUGUAAAUUUUCCGCAAUGUGAAUGCAAGUGUUGCAGCAGUAGUCACGUUGCAUAUUCAUGUUGCUGCAUGAACAGAUGGGGUUCCUACAUAAUAUCCAUAUUUGACAGUCUGAUGGGAUUUGCCAAGCCUAAGCUUUCAUUUAAAUUUUAACCUCUUGAAGAAAUAGGUUUGUGAUUUAAUCAGUCAAGAGAGGCAUUGAAGUUACUUGUAUUGCAUAGCAGAAUUCAAGCCCGUGCUUACAUGUGAUUUUGGUUUGGGAGAUUUCUUGUAGGAAUGGGCAGGAUACUGCUUAUUAGAAUAAAUAGUCAUCAAUUUAAAAGAUACCUCUUGAAGCCUUAUUCAUUUGGCUGAUUUUUAUUCAUAUCCUUCAAUAAAGGAAGAUCUGUUUUAUAAAACAUCAUGUAACAUUGAUGAAGUUCUGUUGCUGUGGUACUGCAUUGCAGGAAGGACUAUGUACUUACUAUAGGGUAGGUGACCUUUAGUUUCCCUCAGGGCAGCUCCAACUGAAGUUCAGUUAUUGGUGGCACUGAACUUCAGUUAUUAAAUCUGGCUGUAAGAUUUGUUUGCUACUUUCUUUUCCAGAAGGGUGUCACAAAUAGGCGUCUCCAAGGUGCAAGUAAAUUUCAGUGCUGAAAAAACCCUUAAAAACUGCACAUUUUGACUAUUUGUGAAGCACUUGAUCCAGGAAAAUGUGAAGAUCCCCCUCUUAGUGUUUUUUUUAUACAGUGUGCACCAUUCCUUAAAGUUAAAAAGUAAAACUUGUAUAGGAUUGAUCGCUUAGAAUUUGCUUUCUUUAUACAGCAUGAACAGGUAUGAAAUUUUGAAUAGAUUUGCCUUGCUGUAUUCACAUGCAACUACCUGCCCAUCUGAGCGUAAUGUAAGAAAGCAUUUUUCCAAGGCUGUUAUUAGUAUCACUACCUCGAAAGAAUGAAAAGGUUGCAGAAGAAAUAUAUGAAAAUACAUAGAGAGAUGAGAAAAGAGAUAAAAAGCAUAGACACCUUUUUUUUUUUUUUUCUCCUGGAUGUUUUUUGUUUUUUCUUCCUUGAAUAUUAGCAGUGGUUUCUAUUUAAAAAUGAUGUCAAUGGGAUAUGAUUCGAAUUCAAAUGUUUAUCUUAUAGAAGCAGUUAGUGUGGAUAUUCAUCACUUACAUUUACUAAAUUUUAGCAUGUUAAAAACAUUUCUAGUUGCUUCCCAGUAUUUCUUUUCUAAAGCUUCCCAGUAUUCUUUCAAUACUGUAGAAGUGUAAGUUUUAUAAGAUGAUGUGCUGGUGCUGGGUGGAGGAACAGCCAAAACUUGUAGACGUUUCUUUUAAACUUGUAGCAUUUUAUGGUCUUACAUAUCCCUUGUACAUUUUUGCAGCGGGGUGAGGGGAAUUCACCAGUAUAGCCUCAAGUGUUUCCAUAUUAGAUGCGAAAACAGAUCCAGCAGAGCUUGUGUGUACCCAGCCAGCUAAUUUGCUGUAGGAAAAUGUUUCAUGCUAAAACACUUAUUAACUAAUGUAAUUUUACUUGUAAUGAGGGCAAGAAUAAAUGUCUUAAAUCAUGCUAAUCACAAAUAAACAAAAAUUUAUCUAUCUAAAUUAAGUAAUAAAUCGCAUUCAAUGCUGUGUUAAUCAAAACAUGUUUCCUAAUGAGUUUCAUUUUUUCAGAGUAGUAGUAGCUUAUGUGUGGUCCAUACCUGUUCUGAAUAAAUGUGUGUUAAUGUUACAGAUGUUUUGGGGACCAGACUGAUGACUCAGCUAGUUCUGCAUGCUGAUGGUAGCAAGCUCAACAUGUCUCAGAUAUAAUUUUAGGGGACUUGAAGUAAGGGGACAUGGGCAAGGGCCCACAAAUUAGGUGCAAAUCUGUAACAGGUGGAGAUCUUCUAAUCUCCAAAUCAUGAGGUUUAAUAUUCCUUCCACAUCGUUUCGUGUUAGUUUUAUUAUGGUCAUGGGAUAUUCUACUAGCUGUAUAAAUCUCAUGAAGUUGUUAAAUUGCAGCAGCUUUCCUACUCAAGGCACAGAAUAUUUGAAAACGUAUUUGCUUUGUCUUCUUUAAAUAUGAUUGAUUCCCCUCUAUCCCCCAACUAUUUUUCUGUUUUAGCUGAAGAAGGUUAGAGGAAAAUCUUGAAUAGUAGGAACUGAUUGUUAUAGAUUAAUAGUGUUUAGCAAUAGUCAAAACAAAAAUCAAAUUUAGAGGCAAGUUUUUUUCUUUGGUGGUCUGUUCUUAUUUUCUUUAUCUCAUGUAACAAUUUUGGUUUAGUUAAAACUGAUAAUACCUAUCACUUUCAAAGCACAUUUAGCCACAGUCAGACUUCUACAGGAUGAGAGGACAUCUGAGCAUCUGACUGUAUGUGUUGGCCUUAAGUGAAAAAUAGGAAAUAAAAUUAAAGUGAUCUCCAGGGUGAAGCUGAGUCCUUUGACAGAGAAAAUCAUCUGAUAAAGUAAUUGUGCUCCAUCUUAAUUGAGGGGUGAGGGGCAUAGUUCUUUUUGCUUAACUGAAGAGAUAAUUUGGUACUGCAGUCUUAGUUAGAAAAUUUUUCUGAUUUACAGGCUACAUUUGUUCAUGUUUUUGUUCUCUGUGCUAACGUUGUCCUUUAAGUAAUUCUUCAUCCUCUGUCAGUGUAUUUAUUGAGGGCCAGCUUGUUUCCAUUCCACCUUUGUUUUCAACAGCGAUCAUUCUUUAGCUUUCUCUUGUACAAUAGAUCUGCCAUUAUUAUGUUCAUCCUUCCUUAUGUAUGCUCUCUUCUAGGUUAAUUUUUAUUUAUGGGCAUCUGGAGUGGGUGAUCAAAGUUUGUCAGAAAUUUCAGAUGAGGUCUCAUGAACGGCUUUAGUAGUUGCCCGUGUCUCCCUGGGAGGAUCUUGUCUCGUAAAUUCCAGGAUGUAUGUACCCUGUUGGUGAUUGUAGCCAUUCUCUUGAUUUAGAGAUUUUCUUGUCUUCCAUCUUUUUUUCCCUGCAGAUCUACCUAAUGGAAUAAUUUUAAUUAGUCCCCAAAAUGAAAGACAGUGACUUGCAAUUCCUAUUAGAGGAAUCGAUCCAGCCUGGAAGAAUUCUUCAGAGUAAUGUUUGAAAUGAUUUACCAUACACAACCAGUAACUGAUACAUAUAGAUGUAUGUAGGCACUUUUUUUUUUUUCUUGUACUGUUUCUCAAGAUCAUGAGUAUUUGAGAACUCUGUCAAAAAACAGUUCUUCCCAUCACAGGAAUGUAAUUCAGUUUCUGACAUGGUAGCUUUCCACAGCCUGCUGUUACUCUCACCUCUGUGCAAGGUCUAGUGGAAACUGCUGUGAAAAUAGCUCCAUGAAAUGAAGCUAAAUUAGGAAUCAUUUCUGUUGAGUGUUGCCUUUGGUUCUGCAACCACAGAUGUUCUUCUGUUUAACAAAAUGGCUAAAGAAAAAUGAAAACAAACUGUGCGUGUGUACUUUCAGCAGCUUAGUUCAUUGUUUAAAGAAAAGUUGUAUUGAUUCAUACCCUGAAUAAAUUGAAACUUACUUUCAAAAUGAA